ACAAGGUGAUGUUCAGCUUGAAGCCAGAAGUGAUUCCCCGCAUCAAUUUGCAGCCCGUCUUGCCAAUCUAGAGAAGGAAAUCAAAGCUCUUAAAGAUAGUCAGAAGAAUGCAUUACGAGGUCGAGAUGGUCGUGACGGACAGCCGGGAAGACCUGGUAAGGAUGGCAACGAUGGAAAAGAUGAUAAUCCGGGC